UGAAAAAUGCCUUAUUAUCGGUGGAUGCCUUAUUAUCGGGGAGGUCUUAUUAUCGGGGGGAUGCCUUAUAUUACAACGAGAGGCAAAACUGCCUAAAGAUAGGAAACAAUCGAUGGUAAGCCGUAUGGAUCGGAGAGCUUCGUCGAACGUUGAAGCUUUGAGGAGGCAAUCGUCUAGGUGGCUGGAGGCCUAGGGACUGGAGGGUUGCUCUUGCGUCCUUCAUCGAAUGCAGCAUGUCGUUUGUGGUG